AGAUGCCCUUUGACCCAUAUCUUCACCUGCUGAAUCGCCCACACUGUUAAAUGGCAAGAUGGUAUGCCUGCCUUGGAUGCUUUAUCAGAGUUCUUGAGUGCAAACAACAAAAAUGGAUUCUGCUUGAUUUAUGAAGAAAACAAAUUCAUUGAAAGGCCACUGAGUAGCUUACAGAAUCACAAGAAAGGUGGCAAAACCAGUUGUGGACAAUAAGAAAAAACAAAGAGAGGUUCCAUAGCCAGACUCCAGCCAGGGUCAUCUCACAAGGACAGCUGAGUAAAGACACUGCUGUCUCUGGCCAAACUGCCACAGCUGCCCACAGAAACUAACUGUGGCAGUCUCUGCUGCCACUAGAAAACAUUCUCCACUGUUGCCGCUGCUUUGCAUCACUAGCUCCAGAUUCAAAAUCCCAUCUGGUUGUGUCUGAUUGCCCAAACCUAGGCCACAGGUCCAUGCCUUUGUUCCUAUGUUUCCAGAGAAGUCAAGUAUCUGGCCUUUUCAACUUCCGUAGGUGAGAAGCAACACCCACCUCCAACUACGACUUGUGCUGUGGAGCAUUCUGCAAAUCAAAGAGUCAAACCCCAGUGUAACACACUUGAGUUUCAGCCACAGAAAGAAAGCUGUCCCCUUGAAUAACCCAUUCACCUCCUGGUUCUAAUCGUUUUUUUUACUAUUAUAUUCCAUGCACUGUCCUGGACAUGGAUAUGUGCUAUGUACUAAUGAUGUAAAUAUUAAGAAUACAGGCCAGGCGCGGUGGCUCACACCUGUAAUCCCAGCACUUUGGGAGGCCAAGGCAGGCGAAUCACCUGAGGUUGGCGAAUCACCUGAGGUUGGGAGUUCAAAACCAGCCCGACCAACAUGGAGAAACCCCAUCUCUACUAAAAAUACAAAAUUAGCCAGGUGCAGUGGCGCAUGCCUGUAAUCCCAGCUACUCAGGAGGCUGAGGCAGGAGAAUCACUUGAAACUGGGAGGCGGAGGUUGCAGUGAGCCAAGAUUGCGCCGUUGUACUCUAGCCUAAGCAACAGGAGCGAAAUAAAUAUAAAUUUAUUCUCAAAAAAUAAAAAAAUAAGAAUACAA
ensembl:lncRNA novel transcript